UACAGAGGGGGCAAGCGUUAUUCGGAAUUAUUGGGCGUAAAGGGCGCGUAGGCGGCCUUGCAAGUGAGGGGUGAAAUCCCUCGGCUUAACCGAGGAACUGCCUGUCAGACUGCAUGGCUUGAGUCCGGGAGAGGUGAGUGGAAUUCCCAGUGUAGCGGUGAAAUGCGUAGAUAUUGGGAGGAACACCGGUGGCGAAGGCGGCUCACUGGACCGGUACUGACGCUGAGGCGCGAAAGCGUGGGGAGCAAACAGG
rnacentral:rRNA from 1 species